GGGGCAACCUGCCUAUAAGACUGGGAUAACUUCGGGAAACCGGAGCUAAUACCGGAUAACAUAUGAGACCACAUGGUCUCAUAUUAAAAGAUGGCUUUUAGCUAUCACUUAUAGAUGGGCCCGCGGCGCAUUAGCUAGUUGGUGAGGUAAUGGCUCACCAAGGCGACGAUGCGUAGCCGACCUGAGAGGGUGAUCGGCCACACUGGGACUGAGACACGGCCCAGACUCCUACGGGAGGCAGCAGUAGGGAAUCUUCCGCAAUGGACGAAAGUCUGACGGAGCAACGCCGCGUGAGCGAAGAAGGUCUUCGGAUCGUAAAGCUCUGUUGUUAGGGAAGAACAAGUACCGUUCAAAUAGGGCGGUACCUUGACGGUACCUAACCAGAAAGCCACGGCUAACUACGUGCCAGCAGCCGCGGUAAUACGUAGGUGGCAAGCGUUAUCCGGAAUUAUUGGGCGUAAAGCGCGCGCAGGCGGUCCUUUAAGUCUGAUGUGAAAGCCCACGGCUCAACCGUGGAGGGUCAUUGGAAACUGGGGGACUUGAGUGCAGAAGAGGAGAGCGGAAUUCCACGUGUAGCGGUGAAAUGCGUAGAGAUGUGGAGGAACACCAGUGGCGAAGGCGGCUCUCUGGUCUGUAACUGACGCUGAGGCGCGAAAGCGUGGGGAGCGAACAGGAUUAGAUACCCUGGUAGUCCACGCCG
rnacentral:rRNA from 2 species